rnacentral:rRNA from 1 species
AGGGCGGAUGCCUUGGCACUAGGAGCCGAUGAAGGACGUGAUAAGCUGCGAUAAGCUUCGGGGAGUUGCACGUAAACUUUGAUCCGAAGAUUUCCGAAUGAGGAAACUCACUUAGAGUAAUGUCUAAGUAUCAUUAAGUGAAUACAUAGCUUAAUGAGGGGAACUCAGGGAACUGAAACAUCUAAGUACCUGAAGGAAGAGAAAGAAAUUCGAUUCCGUAAGUAGCGGCGAGCGAACGCGGAUUAGCCCAAACCAAUAAAGUUUUCUUUAUUGGGGUUGCGGACAUAUCAUAACGAAGAGGUAUCGUAAUUGAAGAGGUUUGGAAAGACCCACCACAGAAGGUAAUAGUCCUGUAUGUUAAACGAGAAGACUUCAGAUAUGAUCCAGAGUACCACGGGACACGUGAAACCCUGUGGGAAGCAGGAGGGACCACCCUCCAAGGCUAAAUACUACCUAGUGACCGAUAGCGUAUAGUACCGUGAGGGAAAGGUGAAAAGAACCCCGGGAGGGGAGUGAAAUAGAACCUGAAACCCUGCACUUACAAGCUGUGGAAGCACAUUUCUUGUGUGACCGCGUACUUUUUGUAGAACGGGCCAACGAGUUACGUUAAGUAGCAAGGUUAAGCACUUAAGGUGCGGAGCCGUAGCGAAAGCGAGUUUUAACUGAGCGUUCAGUUACUUGACGUAGACCCGAAACCGGGCGACCUACCCAUGAGCAGGAUGAAGCGAAAGUAAAAUUUCGUGGAGGUCCGAACCCACGAGCGUUGAA